GGAGACACAGGCUUGGGUCAGCAUCUGUGGGGACGAUCACACAGCACUAGUGAAGCAGUCCCAGAGUGAAGUCCCCAGGAUCUGGGCAGUGGACCUUUUAUCUGGCGGUGGGGAGCCUCUAUGUGCUGCAGCUGGAGCCGCUCCUGGAAGACAGGCUGCUCCCAGGUGUUGGAUAGUUGCUGUAGCUCCAUGGCCUUGACUGGGCUGAUCCACUCUGGCCAGCGGCUGCUGUCCAUGGUCCUGCACAUACUGGGGAUCAGGAGAGGUGACAGGAGAGAGAGAGAAAAGAAGCACAGCUGGGCGGGGCACUCGGUCCCUGCAUCACAAUGGGGUAAAACAGCAGUGAAUAGUGCACGUGUCCCAGCCCUCUACAGACCAACUGCUGUUCACACAUCAGAGCUCCUCUAACUGUGUGUGACAGGAUUUGUAUAGGGGAAGGGGCUUUGCAUACCUGUCCUGCCUCACUGCUCCACACACUUUAUGACCCCCUGUACAGAUCAGUGACUGUCCAGUCCUUUCACAGACACUGACACAGGCAGCAUUAUGAUGAUGUCAAACUUUCUACUGCUGGUGAUGCUGGGACUCCUGGUACAGGAAUCAAUGGCAGAUAUAAUUCUGACUCAGUCUCCAUCAGCUCACUCUGUUCAGCUGGGAGACACUGUCUCUAUCAGCUGUACAACCAGUCAGAGUGUGAGCAACUACCUCUACUGGUACCAGCAGAAACCUGGUCAGGCUCCUAAACUUCUGAUUUAUCGUGCCACAAGUCGCCAAUCUGGGAUCCCUGAUCGUUUCAGUGGGAGUGGAUCUGGGACUCAGUUUACACUGAAAAUCACUGGAGUCCAGGCUGAAGAUGCAGGAGAUUAUUACUGUCAGCAGUACAACAGCUACCCACUCACACAGUGAUACAGAGCCGUACA